CAAGAUACAUCUAUCUUGGUCAGAAAGCCCCAGGGGAGAACUCAGGGCACACAGACAAGGCAAGCAGGAGAAAAGGUGAAGAGAACAGCAAGGCGGCUGCUGGGCCCUGGAGAAAAGCUCAGGCGCUGGAGUGAGGAGAGAGAGAGGAAGCGUGAGUCCAGGAUGCAAAGGAGGAAGAGAGACGAAGGUGGUUGGGAGGCCUUAAAUACACGGCAAGAACUUUGUGUUAAAGGACUUCGGGAAGAUUUACUGCCCACAUUGAACAACCAUUGCUUCCGUAUUGGCACAGCCAUUCAGUCAAUCACCAUCGGGGGAUGAAUCAUUCCAGAAUUUGGAUAACAGAGAAGUUUGCCUCCCGCCAAAGCUCAACAAACGUUGGUAAAAUUUGGGAAAAUCAUUAUCAUGAAAGACUGCAGUGGUUUCAAAGAGCAUCUCUUAGUAGUUAACUGCAAUCUAUGACCUCUAAAAAAAGUGUAAGGAACUUCAUGUACGUACACACACACCCGCGCACACGCACACACACAGCCCCUGCCGAUUUCCCUUAAAAGUCUUGUUCUCUUCAUCACCAAUGAGUGGAAUUAAAAACAGUUGGUCAAGCUCCACUAAUCGACAGCUGCUUGCAAUUAGAUGAAGCAUUUAGAGCCAUUCUCUUAACUACCUUCCCAACUGCCUAACCAUUCAGCAUGAGCAGUACACCGUGACAAUUUGCCAGAAUGUUUAACUGAUCUCCAUCUCUAGUGGUUUCUAUACCUUCCUUAUUUUCUUCAGUCUUCCCACACACUGUCUGACUCUUCCAGUUCCUCUUGUUAAAUUAGGGGUAUUCAGAGAAGGGAUUAGUUGAAACCAGGUCGAGCUGCUUUGUGCUAAGAUGGAAAAUUCUACCCAGGCGACUAUUAGAGGGCAAAGUAGAUCUUGAUGUUUCUCAAAGAGAAGAGAAAAGAUGCCCUUUCUUCCUUUUUUUUCUAACGAUGAACUGGAAAGUUCACUGUAAUUUUUCUCUUUAAGCAUGAAGAGGGAAAACAAAAAUUACUGGGCUUUUGUAAACUCUUUCCAAUUCUUGUAACUCAUAAACAUUAAUUUUGGAGUAGGGAGAAAAUGUACAGCUCACUUUAGUCAAUUUUUUUCCUUUACGAAUUGGGCAUCAAGAGUCUAGACAUUUCUCCCAAGGUCACAGAAAAAGUGGCAGAGCGUGGGCUGUGUCCAACUCACCCACUUCUCAGUUCAGAUUGUUUUCUGCCAGUUCCCUUCUCUGAAGAGAAAAUCGUCCCAUCUCUGGAAAGGGCAGAGGCCAGGAUGGCUCUCCCACUUGCCCUAUCCA
rnacentral:lncRNA from 1 species